GAUGAACGCUGACAGAAUGCUUAACACAUGCAAGUCGAUGGGGAAGUGGUGCUUGCACCAUGGUAACCAUGGCGGACGGGUGAGUAACGCGUAAGGAACUUGCCUGCGGGACUGGGAUAACAGCAGGAAACUGCUGAUAAUACCGGAUAAGGUCAUUAAGCUGCAUAGCUUAGUGAUGAAAGGAGACGCCUGCGGAGAGCCUUGCGUCCUAUUAGCUAGUUGGAGGGGUAACGGCCCACCAAGGCGAAGAUAGGUAGCCGGCCUGAGAGGGUGGACGGCCACAAGGGGACUGAGAUACGGCCCUUACUCCUACGAGAGGCAGCAGUGGGGAAUAUUGGACAAUGGGGGCAACCCUGAUCCAGCAAUUCUGUGUGCACGAAGACGGUUUUCGGAUUGUAAAGUGCUUUCAGCAGGGAAGAAGGAAGUGACGGUACCUGCAGAAGAAGCGACGGCUAAAUACGUG
rnacentral:rRNA from 1 species